AACGUAGGGGACAAGCGUUAUCCGGAUUUACUGGGCGUAAAGCGCCCGUAGGCGGCCUGACAAGUUGGACGUGAAAGCUCCUGGCUUAACUGGGAGAGGCCGUUCAAAACUGUCAAGCUAGAGUCUGGAAGAGGAGAGCGGAAUUCCCGGUGUAGUGGUGGAAUGCGUAGAGAUCGUGAGGAAGACCAGUGGCGAAGGCGGGUCUCUGGACAGUUCCUGACACUGAGGCACGAAGGCCAGGGGAGCAAACGGG
rnacentral:rRNA from 1 species